AUUGAACGCUAACGGCGUGCUUAACACAUGCAAGUCGAGCGGCAGCAUGAUCUGUAGCAAUACAGAUUGAUGGCGAGCGGCGGACGGGUGAGUAAUGCAUAGGAAUCUGCCUUGUAGUGGGGGAUAACCCGGGGAAACUCGGGCUAAUACCGCAUAAUCUCUACGGAGCAAAGUGGGGGAUCGUAAGACCUCACGCUAAAAGAUGAGCAUAUGUUGGAUUAGCUAGUCGGUGAGGUAAUGGCUCACCAAGGCGACGAUCCAUAGCUGGUCUGAGAGGAUGAUCAGCCACACUGGGACUGAGACACGGCCCAGACUCCUACGGGAGGCAGCAGUGGGGAAUAUUGGACAAUGGGCGAAAGCCUGAUCCAGCAACGCCGUGUGUGUGAAGAAGGCCUUCGGGUUGUAAAGCACUUUUAGUUGGGAAGAAAAGCUCAUGGGUAAUAUCCAUGAGUGCUGACGUUACCAACAGAAAAAGCACUGGCUAACUCUGUGCCAGCCGCCGCAGUAA
rnacentral:rRNA from 1 species